rnacentral:ribozyme from 1 species
GAUCACAUGUUAGAUCCAGAGGUUAAUGACUGGCAGAUGGGAGAUGGCAAUAAUAAAAACAAGAAUGAUAAUAAAGAGAAGAUUUCCUUUUCUAUCCUUUAUGCGGCCAAAGGCCAGCAGGAAAUAAGAUUAGGAAAAUAAUAAUUCUCUCAUCUUUGGUCAUGAACUCACUUUCUAGCGUCCUCUGGACCUAUGGGAUUAAGUAAAUGCUAAUAAGAGGAUGAAGAAGAAGAAGAAGAAAAU